UGGCUCAAAAAAAUCGAAAUUUUUUUUAUUGCAUAAAUUUGUUAAUAAAACUAUUUAAGAAUAUGUAUUCAAAAUUUCACAGGAACAUUCCAAUUCGUUUUGAUGCUGUAAACGGUAAAGUGAACGCCACUUGGUUCAGUGCCGAAACGUGCGGCAGGUAAAACGGAACGGACGUUCAAGACAGUCGCUUUUGUAUUCACAUAUCUGCCUCAAUACUAAUAUGCUAUAGGAGAUUUAGAGGAAAGAGAGACGUCGACAGAUGUUCUUGUUUCGUUUUUUUUUCUCACAAUAGAGAUCUUAGAUAAAAGCUAUUGGAAACAUUGAGGAUGCAUUAGCAUCAUUUUGAUAGAACGUCGAUUAGCAUCAGUUUAGCUCCAAUCUUUAUAAUAUAUUUUGAAAGUUAAGACACAAAAUCCGUUAAGUGAAUGUGGUACUUCAAUUCGCAAAGGUAGACAACAUAAAAGAUCCUUUCACGGAUAUCAGUUCUCUAAAAGUGAAUCAAGUGAACGUGACAAAGAUGAAGAAAGUGCCAGCACAAAAAAAACUUUCAAUGAUAAUGAUGGCCUCCAGAAUAUACAGAGAUAACAAAGUUAUCAUUUGAUGGCGACCUUCGAUGGGCUUAUACAUUAAAUAUUUUCAAAGAAAAUAGAUUAAAAAAAUUAAAAGAUAUAUUUGAAUAUAUAAAUAAAAUAUUUUUCAAAUUCAAA